rnacentral:rRNA from 1 species
UACGUAGGGGCCAAGCGUUGUCCGGAUUUAUUGGGCGUAAAGAGCUCGUAGGCGGUUCGGCAAGUCAGCUGUGAAAUCUCCACGCUCAACGUGGAGGGGUCAGCUGAUACUGCUGUGACUCGAGUCCGGUAGGGGAGUGUGGAAUUCCCGGUGUAGCGGUGAAAUGCGUAGAGAUCGGGAGGAACAUCAGUGGCGAAGGCGGCCAUCUGGGACAACACUGACGCUGAAGCACGAAAGCGUGGGGAGCAAACAGG